GGGGGACACAGGCAGGGUUGUUUGGAUUUAAAGAAUGACGAAUAUGUGCUGCAGUUGUAAGGAGAAGUAUCAAGUGUACUUAUCCUGUAGUGGUCGUGUAGCAAGUCAGGCACCAGUGAAUCAUUGCCGUCUCUUACAAGAAAAAUACUCAAAAGCAUGAAAAUUAAACUAUUCCUCCUACUUAUGAUUUUUAUGUGAAAAACUCAUAUUUGGUUUCAUGUAACAUUGCCAAGUUUAAUACAAGAAAAUGGCCUCGUAAGACUCAAACAAAUAAUCAGUGGAAACAAACAAGGAUUAAUGCAAAAAAAUCAUUUAAAAAAAAAAAAUUGAUUUAAGUAAAAAAAACCAAAAAAAAAAAAACGCCCCAAUUUAAAUCAAAUAUAUGGAUUUUUAAAUUUUUCUAGCUGGGAAGUGGACACAGUGGUAACCAUUAGCUCGUAGCCAGUCGCAGAAGUACCCAUGAAUUGCCCUAAAAUCUUGCUGUCAGGUCUUUGUGUGCCCCUGUGCCCAUCAUUGUACCCUGAACCCAGUGCCAGAUUGUCGUACUCAGCUGCUUAUAUUUCCCGACUUCCUGCCCCUAAACUGUCUCCUGGGCUCCUGAUAGUUACCGUUGAAAAGUGUUAGAUCCUGAUGCUUCUUGGCAAUAGUUAGGUUAGGUUAGGUUAGGUUAAAACUGUCUUCUGGGCUCUGAUAACGAAACUCAUUUAUAGUUAUCGUUAAAAGAGUUAGAUUCUGAUGUUUCUUGGCAAUAGUUAGGUUAGGUUAGGUUAAAACUGUCUUCUGGGCUCCAAUAACAAAACUCAUUUAUAGUUAUCGUUAAAAGAGUUAGAUUCUGAUGCUUCUUGGCAAUAGUUAGGUUAGGUUAGGUUAGGUUAAAACUGUCUUCUGGGCUCUGAUAACGAAACUCAUUUAUAGUUAUCGUUAAAAGAGUUAGAUUCUGAUGUUUCUUGGCAAUAGUUAGGUUAGGUUAGGUUAGGUUAAAACUCUUCUGGGCUCUGAUAACGAAACUCAUUUAUAGUUAUCGUUAAAACAGUUAGAUCCUGAUGCUUCUUGGCAAUAGUUAGGUUAGGUUAGGUUAGGUUAAAACUGUCUUCUGGGCUCCUGAUAGUUACCGUUGAAAAGUGUUAGAUCCUGAUGCUUCUUGGCAAUAGUUAGGUUAGGUUAGGUUAGGUUAAAACUCUUCUGGGCUCCGAUAACGAAACUCAUUUAUAGUUAUCGUUAAAAGAGUUAGAUUCUGAUGCUUCUUGGCAAUAGUUAGGUUAGGUUAGGUUAGGUUAAAACUCUUCUGGGCUCCAAUAACGAAACUCAUUUAUAGUUAUCGUUAAAAGAGUUAGAUUCUGAUGUUUCUUGGCAAUAGUUAGGUUAGGUUAGGUUAAAACUCUUCUGGGCUCUGAUAACGAAACUCAUUUAUAGUUACCGUUGAAAAGAGUUAGAUUCUGAUGCUUCUUGGCAAUAGUUAGGUUAGGUUAGGUUAGGUUAAAACUGUCUUCUGGGCUCUGAUAACGAAACUCAUUUAUAGUUAUCGUUAAAAGAGUUAGAUUCUGAUGCUUCUUGGCAAUAGUUAGGUUAGGUUAGGUUAAAACUUCUGGGCUCCGAUAACGAAACUCAUUUAUAGUUAUCGUUAAAAGAGUUAGAUUCUGAUGCUUCUUGGCAAUAGUUAGGUUAGGUUAAAACUUCUGGGCUCUGAUAACGAAUCUCAUUUAUAGUUAUCGUUAAAACAGUUAGAUCCUGAUGCUUCUUGGCAAUAGUUAGGUUAGGUUAAAGCUCUUCUGGGCUCUGAUAACGAAUCUCAUUUAUAGUUAUCGUUAAAACAGCUAGAUUCUGAUGCUUCUUGGCAAUAGUUAGGCGUCAGAAAACGGUAGAUACUAUGCUCUGAGUGCGACAAUCUGGCAAUGGUGUCUGAACCCCUCACCCCACCCUCUCCAC